rnacentral:rRNA from 1 species
GGCGAACGGGUGAGUAAUGCAUCGGAACGUGCCCAGUCGUGGGGGAUAACGCAGCGAAAGCUGUGCUAAUACCGCAUACGAUCUAUGGAUGAAAGCGGGGGAUCGCAAGACCUCGCGCGAUUGGAGCGGCCGAUAUCAGAUUAGGUAGUUGGUGGGGUAAAGGCUCACCAAGCCAACGAUCUGUAGCUGGUCUGAGAGGACGACCAGCCACACUGGAACUGAGACACGGUCCAGACUCCUACGGGAGGCAGCAGUGGGGAAUUUUGGACAAUGGGCGCAAGCCUGAUCCAGCCAUUCCGCGUGCAGGAUGAAGGCCCUCGGGUUGUAAACUGCUUUUGUACAGAACGAAAAGGUUUCUACUAAUACUAGGAGCUCAUGACGGUACUGUAAGAAUAAGCACCGGCUAACUACGUGCCAGCAGCCGCGGUAAUACGUAGGGUGCAAGCGUUAAUCGGAAUUACUGGGCGUAAAGCGUGCGCAGGCGGUUAUAUAAGUCAGAUGUGAAAUCCCCGGGCUCAACCUGGGAACUGCAUUUGAGACUGUAUAGCUAGAGUACGGCAGAGGGGGAUGGAAUUCCGCGUGUAGCAGUGAAAUGCGUAGAUAUGCGGAGGAACACCGAUGGCGAAGGCAAUCCCCUGGGCCUGUACUGACGCUCAUGCACGAAAGCGUGGGGAGCAAACAGGAUUAGAUACCCUGGUAGUCCACGCCCU